rnacentral:rRNA from 1 species
UACAUGCAAGUCGUGGGGCAGCAGGUUUGUAGCAAUACAGAUGCUGGCGACCGGCAAACGGGUGCGGAACACGUACAGAACCUUCCUUUGAGCGGGGAAUAGCCCAGAGAAAAUUUGGAUUAAUACCCAUAGUAUAAUGAAGUGGCAUCACUUUAUUAUUAAAGAUUUAUCACUCGACGAUGGCUGUGCGGCUGAUUAGGUAGUUGGCGGGGUAAAUGCCCACCAAGCCUGCGAUCAGUAACUGGUGUGAGAGCACGACCAGUCACACGGGCACUGAGACACGGGCCCGACUCCUACGGGAGGCAGCAGUAAGGAUAUUGGUCAAUGGAGGCAACUCUGAACCAGCCAUGCCGCGUGGAGGAUGAAGGUCCUCUGGAUUGUAAACUUCUUUUAUAUGGGACGAAAAAAGGCUUUUCUAAGUCGUCUGACGGUACCAUAUGAAUAAGCACCGGCUAACUCCGUG